CUUUUAACGAUAGUCGUAUUUUUAUCGUUUUGCUGAACAUGGUUACGGGCUACGAUAAGAAUACCACGUCGAUAUCGUAUAAAGUUAUCCACUAUCAUUCGUAAGUGACCACGAUUGUCUAUGCCUAGAGUUUAUGAAAAAUCCAUUUAAUGCCUGGCUUUAUUAAAAUGUCGGACGUGUGUCGGACGAUGUUUGAAAACGAAUAGUUAGUUUUAUUACUACACUUCCAAAUUGAAAAAUGUUUAAAUGAGUGACAGCUUUAUACAAAUUGACUUACAUUAUAACAUGCACGGAUAAUCGUGUUUUCUCAACUGACAAUUCACUUGACAUUGACAAGCAUCGCGUACGCGCAUGAUUCAGUGAAUUUAGUGAACAUACAAACUAAGUCGAAGAAAAAUACUGAUUUGCUGUGUGAACUAAAGGAAAUGCCACCCAAAAUGUAAGUUUCUCUAAUUUAUUUAUAGAAAAAGUUAUAGUUCGUUUGAUCAUUAACUGGUUUUGUCAUGAAUAUGUUUAAUUUCAGACGAUGCUUCGGCGCACAAGAAAAUGCUAGCCAAAUAUAUAUAACUCAGCAUCCCCUGUUCGCCUACACCUACAGGGAGAUCCAUGAGCCUCUCGGAAGCCAGAGAUACAAAAUGCAAUGCUUCACAUUGCACAUAACUUCUAAGAUCCAGAAGAAAGGAUUGAAGAUGGUCCGUCGGGCCUGGGCAUUAUGAUCAUCGAGGGGCGGCACACGGAAGCCGGCCGAGGAAUCUUCGUCUCCGACUUACAAGAAGGCAGCGCUGCCGAACAGUCAUGACAUAUUGGAGGCUUGAAAGUGCACAUACCCAUACAUUGGACGUUAAGCUCAACGAGACCAUGCGAUGCAUCUCAGGCACUAUCCGAUCUACAACCGCCACUGGCUGCCGGCAUUGAGUCACAU